GUUUGAUGUUGCUCUGAGAAGUGCUGGGGCUGCUGUCGUUCUGGCAACAUCUAGUGAUGAUAACCAUCCACCAGAGAAUAUGAUAGACGGUGAAAGAUGUUGUUUUUGAAAAGUGCAAAGACUCUGAUCCAAUAAAGUUUGAGAAGAUAACAGAAAGAGAAUUGACACAUGGUGAUGGCCAG